rnacentral:rRNA from 1 species
GUGCGAAUGCUGACAUGAGUAACGACAAAGGGGGUGAAAAACCUCCUCGCCGGAAGACCAAGGGUUCCUGUCCAACGUUAAUCGGGGCAGGGUGAGUCGACCCCUAAGGUGAGGCCGAAAGGCGUAAUCGAUGGGAAACGGGUUAAUAUUCCCGUACUUCUGACUAUUGCGAUGGGGGGACGGAGAAGGCUAGGUGGGCCAGGCGACGGUUGUCCUGGUUCAAGUGCGUAGGCUUGAGAGUUAGGUAAAUCCGGCUCUCUCUAAGGCUGAGACACGACGUCGAGCUACUACGGUAGUGAAGUCAUUGAUGCCAUGCUUCCAGGAAAAGCCUCUAAGCUUCAGAUAGUCAGGAAUCGUACCCCAAACCGACACAGGUGGUCGGGUAGAGAAUACCAAGGCGCUUGAGAGAACUCGGGUGAAGGAACUAGGCAAAAUGGUACCGUAACUUCGGGAGAAGGUACGCUCUUGAUGGUGAAGUCCCUCGCGGAUGGAGCUGACGAGAGUCGCAGAUACCAGGUGGCUGCAACUGUUUAUUAAAAACACAGCACUGUGCAAAAUCGCAAGAUGACGUAUACGGUGUGACGCCUGCCCGGUGCCGGAAGGUUAAUUGAUGGGGUUAGCGCAAGCGAAGCUCUUGAUCGAAGCCCCGGUAAACGGCGGCCGUAACUAUAACGGUCCUAAGGUAGCGAAAUUCCUUGUCGGGUAAGUUCCGACCUGCACGAAUGGCGUAAUGAUGGCCACGCUGUCUCCACCCGAGACUCAGUGAAAUUGAAAUCGCUGUGAAGAUGCAGUGUACCCGCGGCUAGACGGAAAGACCCCGUGAACCUUUACUACAGCUUGGCACUGAACAUUGAACCUACAUGUGUAGGAUAGGUGGGAGGCUAUGAAGACGUGACGCCAGUUGCGUUGGAGCCGUCCUUGAAAUACCACCCUUGUAUGUUUGAUGUUCUAACUUAGACCCAUUAUCUGGGUUGAGGACAGUGCCUGGUGGGUAGUUUGACUGGGGCGGUCUCCUCCCAAAGAGUAACGGAGGAGCACGAAGGUGGGCUAAUCACGGUUGGACAUCGUGAGGUUAGUGCAAUGGCAUAAGCCCGCUUAACUGCGAGAAUGACGGUUCGAGCAGGUGCGAAAGCAGGUCAUAGUGAUCCGGUGGUUCUGUAUGGAAGGGCCAUCGCUCAACGGAUAAAAGGUACUCCGGGGAUAACAGGCUGAUACCGCCCAAGAGUUCAUAUCGACGGCGGUGUUUGGCACCUCGAUGUCGGCUCAUCACAUCCUGGGGCUGAAGUCGGUCCCAAGGGUAUGGCUGUUCGCCAUUUAAAGUGGUACGCGAGCUGGGUUUAGAACGUCGUGAGACAGUUCGGUCCCUAUCUGCCGUGGGCGUUGGAAGAUUGAAGGGGGCUGCUCCUAGUACGAGAGGACCGGAGUGGACGAACCUCUGGUGUUCGGGUUGUGUCGCCAGACGCAUUGCCCGGUAGCUAAGUUCGGAAUUGAUAAGCGCUGAAAGCAUCUAAGCGCGAAGCGAGCCCUGAGAUGAGUCUUCCCUGACAGUUUAACUGUCCUAAAGGGUUGUUCGAGACUAGAACGUUGAUAGGCAGGGUGUGUAAGCGUUGUGAGGCGUUGAGCUAACCUGUACUAAUUGCCCGUGAGGCUUAACCAUACAACACCCAAGGGGUUUUGUA